GACGAACGCUGGCGGCGUGCUUAACACAUGCAAGUCGAACGCCCGUAGCAAUACGGGAGUGGCAGACGGGUGAGUAACGCGUGGGAACGUGCCCUUCGGUUCGGAAUAACUCAGGGAAACUUGAGCUAAUACCGGAUACGUCCGUAAGGAGAAAGAUUUAUCGCCGAAGGAUCGGCCCGCGUCGGAUUAGCUAGUUGGUGAGGUAACGGCCCACCAAGGCGACGAUCCGUAGCUGGUCUGAGAGGANGAUCAGCCACACUGGGACUGAGACACGGCCCAGACUCCUACGGGAGGCGAGCAGUGGGGAAGUCUUUGGACAAUGGGCGGCAAGCCUGAUCCAGCCAUGCCGCGUGGGUGAAGAA
rnacentral:rRNA from 1 species